AUAACUUUCCAUAGAAACAUUUCUAUGCUGUAGGUAAACGAAAAUCCUGUUUCUUUUCAAAGUUUGCUGAUAAAGGCCUUCGUUCCAUCCCGAGUUUGACGAGACCUCUUUCAACAAUAUCAAAGAACGUAUUCAAAGAUGCAGACUUGAGUCAUCUUAGAAUCCGGCUUACAAAAUAUACUAAGGUUUUCCUUUCCCAUUACUUUAUCCCUGUUUUCUGUAAGCAUCCUGAGUGGAAUCUUGUGUUGUUAUCCUAUUCAAUUUUUGAUUGUGUGGUUCAUUGUAUUCAGAUUUUAUAUACACUUGUUAAUUGAUGUAUAGUUAGUGGUCUAUCUUGUACUUACCUGGGGGCCCUCUGAUGGCACUCCUUAUAUGGAACAGAUAUCAUAUAUGUGGUAGUGAGAUGGGUGACAAAUAAACACGACAUUUGUGGUUUUAUGCAGCGGUUAUUAGACCAGUUGUACUUUAUGGAACUGACUGUUGUGCAACUAAAAGAUAAUUUUCACGAGUAUUAGAGUCUGUUUCCGGAUAAUUAGUUUAUUACCUUGUAUAGGCUAGCUAUCACACAAAAUCGGGAUUAAUUCCCAUUGUAUAUUUUCCUUAUAUAGCUUUGUACCAUCCUAUAAAUUAAAAGGCAAUACACAAUAGAGAGGAUUCAGCAAAAUCUGUCAAUGAGAUGAAUGAAAUACAAAUGAUGAUGUGAGAAGGAUGUGUGGCUAUAUUAGAAUAAAUAAAAAAAGAAAUAAUGGUAUGGUCCAACAAAGGAGGUAGGGCUAAUUGAAAACAAAGUAAAUAAGUAAUGGAAUAACGACUUAGAUGGUUGGGCAUGUUUAUGUUUAGUAUAAGCCUAAAUAAGUCUUCAUUUACAAAAGUAAUUCAGUUUGUGUAGAAUGUGCUAGAAGAGGGAGCCAUAGACCAAAAUUAACUCGGACUAAUAUGAAAGAUUUGAUAUCAUUGAGCCUUAGACCAAAAUUAACUUGAACUAAUAUGAAAGAUUUGAUUUUAUUAGACCUCUUAUAAGAUGCAUUGCUGGAUCAAAUAGUGACAAAAUGAUUCGCGUAUUGACACAAGGUAGUUGGAAAUAAGACCUCUUCUAGCUUCCUGAUGUCCUUUUACUCAUUUCUCUUCUGUAAGCUGCCUUUAUACAAUUCUGGGGACCUUAAUGUUGAUCUCUUCUCGUUGGUGUCUUGGAGAUACUAUGGAGUAAGCUUAUCAAGACCUGUUUUGCAACCGGCUUUAGGAAUAUGCUCAUGCAAGAUUCUUUCUCCCAAAUCAGUGGCAUUUGAAAGCCAAAGGGUUGAUAGAUUCUUGUGGAGUUUUAAAGAGUGGUGUUCAUGUCAUUUAUUUCUUGGAGAUGCUUUUUUCAGGAACGGGUGAUUGAUUUUUGACCUUUCUGAAUUAGAAUAGUUUCCUGAAAUGUUUGCUCUCAUAACAUGAUCUCCCUGUGAUAUGGUUUGGUUAGUGGAUCUUAAUCUUACUAGUCCGUGUUGUCAAUUGUGAGGAACGUAUUCACCAUGGGACAUUCAUGAAUACUUCAAUCUCCUAGUGAUAUUGUUUGAUGGCUGACUCCAAAUGCAUGCAGUGAAGUUAGGCUAGUAUUUUAGUUUCUCACAAAUUUCCUCAAGGUCCACCGUGGAAUUUGUAAUGCACAUGCUUUAUGUUUUACAGGUCAUUUUAGUCCAUGAAGCACAAGGUUAUAUAGCUUAGGUGGUUUGGUCUGCUUAAAACGGGAUUUUAGCCUUGGGAGACAUCAAUUGAACAUGAAUUCUAUCUACUUCCAGUUAUGUUUGUUGUGUUUAAUGCGCUUUUUUGGGGGGGGCGGGGGGGAGGGGUUGAAACUUGCAUUGUUUAGGACAAUGGAUGCCGCUGUAUGAAGUUUUGGAUUAAAUAGUUCGUUUCACUUUAAGAGAGCAGUUAUCUGACUCUAAUUGAAUUUCCUGAACCACUAGAAUAGUGUAGUAACAUGUUCAUAUUUCCAUUACUUGCUAGAAGUUUAUGGACAGAAUGGUGUCAGCUUAAUCAUUUUUUGGGUGUUUGCUAUUGAUUUGAAGGAAAUUUGGUUAAAGACGCUUGUUUAAGAAAGUACGUCUUUGUUGUACUCACAAAUUAGCCUGGAACUUAGCAUUCAUAAGUUACACUGAUAAUUAAAAGAGAGAAAUACUCACUGAUGCAUUUGAUGUGUGCAUUUUUCAUGUAAUGCACAAAUUGAUCACAAGUGUUAAAAAUUUAAUGUAAAUGCAUAGAGCCAGCACAUUCAAGUAGUCUUGCAGUGCUAAAUUAGAUAAAAAAUAUCCGUAUUGAUUUUCUGAAAUUUUACUUUUUGAAGCACGUGCUUCUAAACUAUUCUUCCCCAUUAAUUUGUGCAGAGAGUGGAUCUUUCCAGCUGCCCACAGUUCACACCAUCACUUGUUCUCCUGUCGAUGCUUCCUUUUUCAUGCUAUGCAGGUCACAUGCUAGAAAAGAGCAUUAAGGAAUCUUUAAUUAACCGUGUGCGUCUAAAAGAGGACGCCUUUCACGUAUCACAAGCAUUGGGGCUAAUGUUGACUUUUAUUGAAGUAGAAGAGGUGGAUAUUUCAAAUUGUCCAAUGCUACAUCUUGAGGCUGCCAUUGAGUGCUUCUGCAAGUUCCCAUCAUUAAGAAAAUUAAAGGCAGCUUACUCUUUAGACUUCAAAACAAAGAUGAUGUGUCAAUUGGUACAAAAGUGCCCACUACUCUCUGACAUUGACCUAACUGUGGAUGUUACUCCUGUUAUACCUGGACGCGUGUCAAUUGUAUCUUCCUGGCCGGCCUUGCCACAAAGAUCUACAACAUAUUUCAACCUUGAUAAUUGUUAUUCUGCUGCCUCUUUUUCAUAUAUGUCGAGGCCAUUCCUCUCAAAUAUCACGAAACUCACGUUGGAAGGCCGAACCGACAUCAGAGGUAACUCUUUUUUUGAGGGGGGGGGGGGGGGGACAGGGAGAGAGAGAGAGAGAGAGAGAGAGAGAGUGUGUGUUCCCUCCACACUGCAGUCCCACCCCAAAGAACAAUGAACCAUGAUGCAUAUUUGUAUGUAUACAUAUAGGUGUAUCCUAGUCUCCUUUGCAUCCGAUGUCAUUAUUUUCACCUUUUUGGAAAUUCUUUUGGUUGCUUAAAAAUUAAGACAUUCAAUUUCAAUACAUAAAAGAAUUGGAUCUUAAGAGAUUCUCAUGCAAAGGGUGCCAGCUAGGAUUAUUUUGCUUUGAUCAAGAGUGUGUGUACCUACUACCCACCAUUCAUUGAACAUUAACUAGGUAGAUGGUCGUAGAUGUGGCUUGCUGCAUAUUUUUAGGUUGGAAAUCAUCUGUUACCGAACUGUUGAUGUAAGGGAAGAAGUCUGUUUGCUGUUUUCUUUCAUCUAUGCACUUCAAUGUGUAGCAUGUCCUCCACAGGUGUAAAUCAACAAAAUGAAAGAGAAAAAUGCAUAGACAAUAUAACAAGGAUGCGUCUUGUAAGUUCUUUCAGAAUAUCAAACAUAGGAGAUUGCAUUGCUAAAAAGCUCGUUUUCAAAUAGCAAAGAUAACUAAUGCUACUAUGGCAAUUGUAGUUGUGGAAAAAAGAAGCAAGUGGUGUUAUGGAAAUAUGUUAAUAUACGAAAGGUCAUACAGAAUUUUAACAUGGUAAAGAUUGGGCCUUCUUUGAUUAUAUAAGCUAAAACAAUAUUUAAAAAAUGUUUUGAGGCUGCACCUGGAGUCCUGCCUAACAUGAGGCUCUCUUUAAAAGCAUCAAAGCUCAUGCCUUGACUUAGUGAGGCUUACGCCUUAAGAAAAGCACCAUGCAACUUCAUAGUUGAAAACCUUUCAGAUGGCAGGAUCAAAGCCAAUCUUACAAGCAUACCAAUGGACAUAUAAUCCCUUUGCUGCUAACUUCCAAGCUAAUUCCACUAAUUCCUUUCGUUUCGAAAAACUCCUCAUCCAACAAAAGCAAAUUUAGUUCUCAAAUUGAUUAUCAAGUGCUAAGAGAUCCACUAUAGAACAGGCUGACGGAUAAAACUUAACCAAAUAAAACUGUUCGUCGAAAGAGUAAAAUCAAUUGUUUGGACUUGAGUAAGCUACAAAAAUAAGUAACUCCAUAUUCACCAUUGUAAAAUGAUUAUCAAGUUCUUGAAGUUGCAUCUCCACAAUCUGUUGAAUGUUUCUACAGGAUAACGGUUUAAAUUUUUGGUUUGUGCUAUAUAUCGUGCCUUAGGCUUUAAAGAUAUGAUCCAUGUUGGGAAUAGGAUGCUCUAUUUCUUCUUAUUAUCUGCAAUCUUUAUUGGCAUAUUUUAAGUAAUAGCAUUUAUGUAUCUUGAUCUUUUGCUAGCAAGAGCUUUUACAACUCAUUAUUACGCCUUAUUUUUAUCAGUAUAUGGGGGCUUCUAUGCGUUUCUUUUAAUUGGCCGGCCUUGUAAAAUUGAACUAUUUUUUGUUGGUUCAACAGAUUCUGAUCUCCAUGACAUCUCAGAGUUCUGUGCUUCCUUGUGCUACCUUAACCUUAACGGGUGUACUUCAUUGACGGACAAUGGUUUAUCAGUAAUAAUUCUGAAAUGUAAAAAACUACACUCAGUUUUGGUGUGUGAUACUUCUUUUGGGAAUAAUUCAAUUCUGGCACUUUGCUAUGGGAUUUCUGUUGCGGAAUCCAAAAGAGGAAACUACUCUCACACGACGGCUUCGAAGUGUCAAACCCUGCAUAUUGGUGGCUGCAAUGGUGAGCAACAUUUCCUUUGUCCACUCUCACCCUCUUUUAUUUUCAGUAUUCCAGGAAAGUAAAGAGAAAUUCAAUUUUCAAAAGUUUUUUAUGUCAGUAUGUGUCAGAAGUUUUUCUGAUGGAAAUGUGUUUUUUUUAUAAAGUCUUUCAUAAUAUCAGAGUGAGCAUGAUUUUAUAUUUGGUUCACUUGAGUAUUUUUGAGACUUUUUCCUCAUUUGAGUAUAAUCUCAAUUGAUGUGUCUGCCAGUAUCUUUGAUGGUAUACACAAUCAAAUAUGUAUAGCUAACAGCUGGAAUACAUUAUAGUACACACGCAUCAAAUAUGUUUAACUUAAUCUUGUGAAUGUCAUAUAUACAAUUUAUUCUCAACACUAUCCACUUCUUCCCUUCUUUGGCAGGGAUAAAUGAAACAGCUUUGUCAGAGCUUCUCUCUGGAGCAAAUAAUUUGACGAGUCUGUGUUUGCGGGAGAUUCAACUUGAUGACAAUGCUCUUUAUUGUUUUUCAGGAUCCUCCUUGGAGAUGCUUGAUAUUUCUGAUACAAAGGUGCAGAGGCAGUCUAAAGGGAAAUUUUGUUUGUUUCUAGAAAGGAUUCCUCUAAAACCAUUCACUUUUUAUCAUGGAAUUCAUAUAAAUCACUUUACCUAAGAUCUCUUAUGAAUGCGGCAACUGGAAACUUGAACUGAACAUUGCAUAUAGAGUUUGAACUUCUGUUUUCACAACCUGCUUUCACCCGUCAAACCUAAGUCUGAAUAUCUGAAAAUCUUUAAAGCUUUUUGGGCUAGGCUAACUGAAAAACUGGGCUGCUAGAUCUUGUUUUUUGGAAGUUGACAGUUAACCUUUCAAAAGAUAUGUAUAUUUGUCAGAUACAUAAUUUUUCUGCAUGAGUUGCAAGAACUUCACGGUGGUUCAUUAGUUUCAUAUCAAUACCCAUCUGGAAUUGCAUGCAUCUGUCAAUUUCUUGAUGCCAUCUCUUUUAAGAGAGUACCCGUGUGUAAAUUGAGUCCUGAACUCGAGACUCGAAGCUUCGUGGGUUAGACUAUUUUUAUUUCCCACUUGCACGGUCUUGCAAGGAUAAGUUACGAAGGUUGUGCACUUGGCUUAAUCCCCAUGUUCAGGAAUUAGUUAUUAGCAAUGCAUGACAGACCUCUAUUAUACUUCGAUUGGGAUGUGAUAGCACGACGGAUGCAUAUGCUUGGUGGUGUCUUGCUCUAUUUCUUCAUCAAGUUUAAAAGAAAGAAUAUUUGUCUUUACUGUUUACUUUUGUCUUGUUAGAACCAAUCUUGAGUUGUACUGAAUAAAUAAAAUGUAUCAAGCUAACCCAUAAAUAAUGUGCUUGUGAUAUUUCAGGUUUCUGCUGCUGCUUUGGCUCAUGUGAUUUAUAGAAAUCCCGAUCUAAAAUGUUUGAAAGCAAGAGGCUGUAGGCAUUUGCUAGUAAAGGAAAGUAAGACGGAAGAGAGAAACUUGCCUGCUUUAUUGCGUACUCCAAAAGAGUGGUACUCUGAGCUUGGCAAGUCCUGCAAAUUGGACGAGAUUCAACUUGGAUGGGGUUUUUCAUCUCUUUAUAUGGAAGCACUUAAACCGGCAUUUAGAACAUUAAGAACGGUAGUUGUUGGUUUAGGUGGAUCCUUGGGCCAAGAUGGGCUGAAGCAGUUAUCAGAUAUCUGUCCUUUGAUUGAGACCAUGGUUCUAUAUUUUCAGGUAAUGAUUGUUUAGGAGAUAUAAUUAAUGUCAUCCGUAGCAAAUUAUCCGAUCAUCAUAAUUGAUGAGUGUUGAUUGCAAGCUUUGCAUAAAAUGUUCAAGAUUUAGGUUGUAUAUUUUCUCUUGACCAGCAAGAGUGAGACAACAGUGGAACUAAAACGGUAUAAGAAUAGAAAUAUUAUACUCAUAGGAACUAGGUCUUGGCAUUUUCUAGUUUGCUCAUUGGUACUCUCUCUCUCUCUCUCAUAAUUCUUUUAUCUCCCAGCAGCAAAAGGCAACUAUCAUUGAACAUCACUUAUCAGUUAAAACCUCUCACGUGAACCAUAUGUUUCUGAUGAAGUUGGAAGCUUUGGUGAUCUCCUGAUCACUAGAGUACAAUUUAUGGAGCUUUUUCGGUGAUCGUUUUUAGUUAUAUGAUAUACUAACUGAUGCUUGAAGCCAUGCACUAAUACAUUGUCUGAUGUUAACAGGUGAUAACUGAUUCUACUAUAAUGCAUGUUAUGAAAACCUUGUUGCAGUUGCAAGUCUUGGCUCUAUCCUAUUGCAUUGGUGAGAUUUCAUCAUUAAGCUUUAAGUUCUUGAUGCCGAAUCUGAAGAACCUGAAACUUGAAAGAGUAACACCAUGGAUGUCAAAUGAAGAUUUGGUUAAUCUGACACAGAAUUGCCCCAAGUUAGUCAAGCUUUCAUUGACAGGGUGCACAAUGCUUAAUUCAGGCGAGUAAUUUCUACCUGAUAACCAGUCUGUAGAAAUUUCAAUGACACUAAAUGCAAUUUUCAUGCAGUGUGACUCUAAUAAGAAUUCUUAUGCUCUGAGUUUCAUAAGCUGCUGUAUAAUCGAGAAUUAAUACUCGUAUAUCAUUUUUUAUUAUAUACAUGCAUCCUUUUGUCUGGGGAUGACUGAGUGAAGUGAUUUGAAUACUGGCUAAAAUAAUAAUAAAAACUUUUCCUUUCCCUUGUUAUGUUCUUUUCAGAAUCCCAAGAUAUUAUUUCAAGUGGUUGGCCAGGGUUGAUAUCCAUUCAUCUUGAGGUUUGCUGUCACCAUUUUCUCUUGGGAUGCCUUUUUAUUAUUUUUUUAAAAAGAUAUGUAGAUCUUACAUUUGCUACCAACUUUGCAAGAGGAGGAUAAAGACUGAAAUACUAUUAUCUGAUAGUAAAUUUGCUAUUACUUUUUUUGUUUUUGCAUACACCUAAGCAGAUGACCUAAACAAUAUUAACAGUUUUGUGUAACCCAAUUCCUGACUAAGGGCAGAUUUUCGACCCCUUUUUUUUUUUCCCUUAUUUUUGCAACCUCUUGCUACAUCUCUAAAAUUUUCUUCUAUACCUGUGAUUCACCCAAUUUUAUUGAGUGUAGAGGAUGGACAAAGUAGCAAUUAAAAAUUAAAACUUGUCUAAACUUGAGGGGCAUGUUGAAGACAACAUUAAAUGAUAUAAAUUGUGUCCUUAUCUAAUAGCUUAAGCAUUUAGAUCAAGCCGUUUAACAUGGUGUCACAUCAAGCAAAGGUCAGUCAAGUCUCGGCUCUGUCCAUUUAAAUGAAUUGUCCACAUGUUAAGUUUUGAUGGACGUGUUGUCGAUGGUAUUUGAAUGAUAUAAAUAUGCCCUAUCUAACAAUUUAAGCUAUUAGAUCAAGUGGUUCAACAAUAAUGAUUGCUGCUGUUAUUUUCCAAUUAGAUUCACCACCUUUCAUAAAGAGAAGUUUUCUAACCUCUUUCAAAAUUCCAAAAUGUGAAAGAAGAACUGUUUUAUAAGUUCAAAAUCAACAAAGAAUUUAAAGUUUUCUGAACAUGCAUGUGAGGGUCUUCAAUUACAAGAGAAGUUCACAGGGAGAGGUGGUCCAUAAUUUGAUCAAGAACGAACCAUUUUUGAUAUGUGCCAGUCCUCUUGCUAGUGAGCACUCAUGUACCAUUAAAGAUUAAGAAGCAAAAUGGAUCAAAGGAAAGAGGAGGUAACAAAGUUAAAAUCAUGAAGUUGGUAAGAAGCAAAAGGGAAGAAAUUACUGCCUGAAGUUGGCCUUGGGCCUUCUUUGAAUCUGAAUUAUAUAAUUCUUUUUUCAUUUAGGGAAUAGAAUCCUUCCUUGAAAGUCAUUUUGAGUUCCCCCAAAGGAUUUCUCCAGUUGUCAAUUACUAUAACUUGCACAAACAGCAAACAGGCAUUCUCUUUGUUGGCCACUAUAUACAUCUACAGGGUACUUUAUCCCCUGAAGUUGGCAUUUGGUAUGCAAGAGCAUAUGCACAGUAUAGGAAUGGACUUGUGAAAUGAAUGAAGAUGGGAAUGAAAUGCAAUAGACAUGGGAUAUCUCAUGUUUGGUUUGUCUAGGAAUAAGAACAGCAAUGGGAUCAGGUUCCACAUUUUUGAUUUCUUAUAUUUGGUCUGUUAUGAAGCAUGGUAAUGAAAUACAGAUUGUGAAAUGGCUAUGCAUACCUUACUGAAAUUUUAUAUUUUAAGCAUUAAUUCAUGUAAUUGGGAAAAUAAUGUCACAUGUCAGAAUUUGAAAACACGUUGCAUUCCAGAUUAUCUAGAUGCUUACGCUGGAUGGAAUGCCAUGAGCCUACUCGAUAUCUUCCUUGCCUGCUUCACUAGAGGGGGAAAAAAUAGGGAGAGGAAGAUAAAUAUUUUUGAAUCUUUCUUCUGUCAAUGGUUGAACCUUCUUGCCCAUGCUUCUACAAGAAGAAGAAGAGAAGCCUAAUCAGACACUAAACUACAGUUACCUUACUGAAGACUCAAAAGAAAAAAUUGAAGAUUAGAUUUUUGAGACAUCUGAAGAUCAAAUUUGCAGAUUCAAUGCUUAAUUCCAUGGUUCUUGAGUUCAUGCUCUCUCAUAUUUUAAUAAUAUCUUCUUGGUGGUUAUUUUACAUGUUCUUUCUAUUGAGAAUGUUUAUACGAGUGUAGUUCAUCUUCUAAGUUGCUUUCUCACUAUCAUAAAUUCAAUGUCUUUUAUGGAAUUUACACCAACAUUAAGGAGGAGGAGCCAAAUCGAUAGAAAUUAAAACCUGAAAUUGGGAAGAGAUGCAAAAGUUUGGCGGUGUUGAAAUUUGUUAAAAAACGGGGGUUCCAUUUUUGUGAAAGAGACCAUAAUUAUAAACCCCACCAAAAUGAGAGCAGUAUCUACGAUAUAGGAUGAAGUGAAUAUAAAUAUUAUUUCAUUCAUUUGAUUGAUGUAUUUCAUCAUCAGUUCUUAUCCUUUUCGGUAUCUUUGUAACAGCGCAUGUUAUUUGUUGUUUAGGACUGUGGAGAAGUAACAACCAAUGACGUUGUAUCUCUUCUGGACUGUCAUGCCCUUGAAGAUCUUAUGCUACGUCACACUGUGAGUCUUCAACACUGGUUUUUUCUCAUGUGGUGUGGCUUGUUUUAACUUUUGGAGGCUAGAUAAUUAACUUAAUUCUAAUUAGGGGUGGUUGCAAUCUGAUCCUAUUAUCCUUCAUUAUAGUUACCAACUGGUUCUCUGCAAAAGAUGAUGAAUUUGAACUUUCCCGUUUUUGCCUCCUUCGGUUUCUUUUUCUUUUUCCUUCAAACAAAAUGAAUAAUUGGACAGCAAAUGUACGACCCGAAGAAAUUACAAGACAAAAUACUUCAUGUUUCCUGUUUCCUGUCCUCCUAGUAUUAUGUGGCAUAUAUUAGGGAUGAACUUUUUGGUUGGUAUAACCUGAGAUCUCAAUCUAGGUAGCAUUCCUUUGACAAGGUACAUAAUGUUUGGAUUUAUAUAUUAGGCAAUCUUUAGUAUCGCAUAAUAGAUGAUAUAUAAGCACAAGAUUGUGAUGAAGACUACCAAUUGCUUGGACUUCGAUUCAGAGUAUGACAGAGAUAAUACAAAAUAUCCCUUUCUUUUCCUCUUCAACCCCUUAACUCCAACCCUAUCACACCCACAACACAGACAUCAAACUGCAAGGUAUAUACAUUAUACUAGUCCUAAUAAUAUAUCGGCACCUAAAAACACUGAACUGUUUUCAAUUUUGUGAAGUUCCAUUCAAUUAUUAUGAUCUCACUAGACAUUUCAUCAAACACUAAUUUCGAAUUCUUGGUCUACCUACAAAAUUCGAAGCUUUAUUUUUGUGAACUAGCAACUUGCUGAUUCUGGAGUGAAUUGUGCUUUAAAUAUUUAGGGCCCUGGAAUUACGAGAAAUUUCAUCAUUUAUGCUGCUUACAAGGUAAUUAUGGCUGCUCACAUGGAAUUACCGUAUUUGGACAUUGUUUUUUCUCAAAUUGUUUGAAGUUCCCCGUUUUAUUGUGUAUUUUUGGUGCCUGCAGUUACCAAUGCUUCGAAAAAUAUCACUUGAUAGAUGUGAUGCAAGGGAUGGAGACUUUGACAUUCCAAAUGUAAGAAAUCUUCUUGGCAUAUUAUAAUUUCACCCAUUACCAUUAUGUAGAUGCAAAGUGUUUGACAAACCUGUGAAACUUCACGUGAAAGGCGUUAUCAUUUCAUGGUGCAGUCAUUAUGUAUUUCAUUAUUUCCUUAAUAUAAUCCGGGGGUUUUUGAAGCUUAUAUUCUUGUAUCUUGUGGUUUGGGUAGAAUUGGAUUAGGAUAAAAAGUGAUUAGUUCUACGGUUAAUUAGGCUUUUUAGUAUUGCUAGUCUACAGAAGAAAUAUUAAUCCAUGUUGGACAACUAGAAUUGUUUUCAUUAAGCAACAAAAAUAACAUCACUAAUUGCAUUAACGUGUAAACUUCUUGUUUAUCCAGGUAUUUAUAGUGAAUGUUAUCUUACUGAUAUUACGGACCUGCUCCAGUGUGAUGACAGGUACUUCUUAAGUAGUGUGAAGAUUGCUAGAUGUAAGCUUCGACCCUGCACCUUUGACCUUCAUAAUCCGGAGGGCCGGAGAACCCCCGUGCAUAAAGAAACUUUAAUAUUGGAGUGGAACAGUGAAAAGCUCACAAGAAUUGUGGUGAAGGAAAGACUUUAAUUUCCACGCUUGAAAUCAGAUAUAACAUCUAUGGAAACACUGUGAAGCAUAUGGAAUGCACAAUGUGUUACUGUACAUUAUUUCGACUCCUGCACUCUAAAAGCAUGUUGGAUAUCACUUGGUCUGUAAUAGAUAAUGUUAAUUUAGGUCUUAUAGUAACAUGAAACUAUGUCAUGUUCAGUAAAUUUGAAAAAAAGAGUUAAAAAUUGUUUGUUUUUGAAUAACAUUAUGAUUUUUUUUACAAGGUGCUUUUACUUUGG
rnacentral:lncRNA from 1 species